GCAGUGGUGGCUUAGUGGUUAAAGGCUCUGGCCUACUGAUCAGAAGGUCAGGAAUUCAAGCCCCAGCACUGCU